rnacentral:rRNA from 1 species
GACGAACGCUGGCGGCGUGCUUAACACAUGCAAGUCGAGCGGAAAGGCCCUUCGGGGUCCUCGAGCGGCGAACGGGUGAGUAACACGUGAGUAACCUGCCCCAGACUUUGGGAUAACCCUCGGAAACGGGGGCUAAUACCGGAUACGACACAGCUUCGCAUGGGGUCUGUGUGGAAAGUUUUUCGGGUUGGGAUGGGCUCGCGGCCUAUCAGCUUGUUGGUGGGGUGAUGGCCUACCAAGGCGACGACGGGUAGCCGGCCUGAGAGGGCGACCGGCCACACUGGGACUGAGACAGGGCCCAGACUCCUACGGGAGGCAGCAGUGGGGAAUAUUGCACAAUGGGCGGAAGCCUGAUGCAGCGACGCCGCGUGAGGGAUGACGGCCUUCGGGUUGUAAACCUCUUUCAGCAGGGACGAAGCGUAAGUGACGGUACCUGCAGAAGAAGCGCCGGCCAACUACGUG